rnacentral:rRNA from 1 species
AGCUUGCUCUUCGGAUUAGUGGCGAACGGGUGAGUAACACGUGAGCAAUCUGCCCUUGACUCUGGGAUAAGCGUUGGAAACGACGUCUAAUACCGGAUACGACCUUGGAAGGCAUCUUCCUUGGUGGAAAGAAUUUUGGUCAGGGAUGAGCUCGCGGCCUAUCAGCUAGUUGGUGAGGUAAUGGCUCACCAAGGCGACGACGGGUAGCCGGCCUGAGAGGGUGACCGGCCACACUGGGACUGAGACACGGCCCAGACUCCUACGGGAGGCAGCAGUGGGGAAUAUUGCACAAUGGGCGAAAGCCUGAUGCAGCAACGCCGCGUGAGGGACGACGGCCUUCGGGUUGUAAACCUCUUUUAGUAGGGAAGAAGCGAAAGUGACGGUACCUGCAGAAAAAGCACCGGCUAACUACGUGCCAGCAGCCGCGGUAAUACGUAGGGUGCAAGCGUUGUCCGGAAUUAUUGGGCGUAAAGAGCUCGUAGGCGGUUUGUCGCGUCUGCUGUGAAAACCCGAGGCUCAACCUCGGGCCUGCAGUGGGUACGGGCAGACUAGAGUGCGGUAGGGGAGAUUGGAAUUCCUGGUGUAGCGGUGGAAUGCGCAGAUAUCA